rnacentral:rRNA from 1 species
GAACAUAAGAGUUUGAUCCUGGCUCAGAUUGAACGCUGGCGGCAUGCUUUACACAUGCAAGUCGGACGGCAGCACAGAGAAGCUUGCUUCUUGGGUGGCGAGUGGCGAACGGGUGAGUAACAUAUCGGAACGUACCGAGUAGUGGGGGAUAACUGAUCGAAAGAUCAGCUAAUACCGCAUACGUCUUGAGAGAGAAAGCAGGGGACCUUUGGGCCUUGCGCUAUUCGAGCGGCCGAUAUCUGAUUAGCUGGUUGGUGGGGUAAAGGCCUACCAAGGCGACGAUCAGUAGCGGGUCUGAGAGGAUGAUCCGCCACACUGGGACUGAGACACGGCCCAGACUCCUACGGGAGGCAGCAGUGGGGAAUUUUGGACAAUGGGCGCAAGCCUGAUCCAGCCAUGCCGCGUGUCUGAAGAAGGCCUUCGGGUUGUAAAGGACUUUUGUCAGGGAAGAAAAGGCUGUUGCUAAUACCAGCGGCCGAUGACGGUACCUGAAGAAUAAGCACCGGCUAACUACGUGCCAGCAGCCGCGGUAAUACGUAGGGUGCGAGCGUUAAUCGGAAUUACUGGGCGUAAAGCGGGCGCAGACGGUUACUUAAGCAGGAUGUGAAAUCCCCGGGC